rnacentral:rRNA from 1 species
CCUACGGGGGGCAGCAGUCGAGAAUCAUUCACAAUGGGGGAAACCCUGAUGGUGCGACGCCGCGUGGGGGAAUGAAGGUCUUCGGAUUGUAAACCCCUGUCAUGUGGGAGCAAAUUAAAAAGAUAGUACCACAAGAGGAAGAGACGGCUAACUCUGUGCCACCAGCCGCGGUAAUACAGAGGUCUCAAGCGUUGUUCGGAAUCACUGGGCGUAAAGCGUGCGUAGGCUGUUUCGUAGGUCGUGUGUGAAAGGCGCGGGCUCAACCCGCGGACGGCACAUGAUACUGCGAGACUAGAGUAAGGGAGGGGGAACCGGAAUUCUCGGUGUAGCAGUGAAAUGCGUAGAUAUCGAGAGGAACACUCGUGGCGAAGGCGGGUUCCUGGACAUUAACUGACGCUGAGGCACGAAGGCCAGGGGAGCGAAAGGGAUUAGAUACCCGAGUAGUC